CCUACGGGAGGCAGCAGUGGGGAAUAUUGGACAAUGGGCGGAAGCCUGAUCCAGCAACGCCGCGUGAGGGAUGACGGCCUUCGGGUUGUAAACCUCUUUCGCCUGUGACGAAGCGAGCCUUUGGGUGAGUGACGGUAGCGGGUAAAGAAGCACCGGCCAACUACGUGCCAGCAGCCGCGGUAAUACGUAGGGUGCGAGCGUUGUCCGGAAUUAUUGGGCGUAAAGGGCUCGUAGGCGGUUUGUCGCGUCGGGAGUGAAAACCAGGUGCUUAACACCUGGCUUGCUUUCGAUACGGGCAGACUAGAGGUAUUCAGGGGAGAACGGAAUUCCUGGUGUAGCGGUGAAAUGCGCAGAUAUCAGGAGGAACACCGGUGGCGAAGGCGGUUCUCUGGGAAUGACCUGACGCUGAGGAGCGAAAGUGUGGGGAGCGAACAGGAUUAGAUACCCUGGUAGUCCACACCGUAAACGUUGGGCGCUAGGUGUGGGGUCCAUUCCACGGAUUCCGUGCCGCAGCUAACGCAUUAAGCGCCCCGCCUGGGGAGUACGGCCGCAAGGCUAAAACUCAAAGGAAUUGACGGGGGCCCGCACAAGCGGCGGAGCAUGCGGAUUAAUUCGAUGCAACGCGAAGAACCUUAC
rnacentral:rRNA from 1 species